CACACACACACACACAUUAAUACAGAACCUCUCAUACAGGCCCUUCUUAAAUACUUCAUCAACGCUCUCAGAAAUGUUCACAGUAAAAGAAAACACUAACCAAACCACAAUCAUAAUAUGUCUAAAUAAGGAGGAGGAAGAGGAGGAGGAGGAGGAAGUGGAGGUAAGAGGUAGAAGAGAACAGGUGGACAAAGAGAGGAGAUAGUAAAGACAGACAGACAGACAGACAGACACGACCUCCUCAGAUACCUCAUCCACGUUUCAGAAAUGGCUACAGGAAAAAGCUCUCAGUCGACACGUUAGUAUUUUUCUCCUUGCCUCCUAAUGAACGAGCUAUCAACGUCGGUGGAGAGGGAGUGAUGCAAGUCCCCUUUCGGCUCCCAAUUACUUGAUUCGUCGCGCGAGAUAAGAAUGAGAAUAGAUGCGACUUGAUUGGCGGUAUUGUUUUGUUAUUGUGGUGUUUAUCUGGCUACACUGCUUGGAGGGUUUCAUUUUUGUCUGGCUAUACUGUUUGGAAGGUCGCUCUAUUUGUGUGGCUAUACUGCUUAGAUUAUAUUAUUUGUCUGGCUACACUGCUUGGAAGGGUAUACUGUUCACCUGGCUAUAUUGUUUGUUAUUGUGGUGUUUAUCUGGCUGCACUGCUUGGAGGGUUUCAUUUUUGUCUGGCUAUACUGUUUGGAAGGUUGCUCUUUUUGUGUGGCUAUACUGCUUAGAAGGUAAUAUUAUUUGUCUGGCUACACUGCUUUCAUGGUUACACUAUUUGUCUGGCAACACUGUUUAAGGUUAUCAUAUUUAUCUGGUAACACUUUUUUGGCAAUACUGUUUGACAAUUAGAUGAUUCAACACAUUAUCUUCAAAACAGUCAUCACGGCUAUCAUUACCCUCCUCCUCCUCCUCUUCACCAUCAUCAUCUUCAUUCACCUUCACCGGUCACACGGAGGUCACUAUCCUGUCCUGAAUCUGUUUGACAAUAAGAUGAUUCAACACAUUAUCUUCAAAACAAUCAUCACGGCUAUCAUUACCCUCCUCCUCCUCCUCUUCACCAUCAUCAUCUUCAUUCCCCUUCACCGGUCACACGGAGGUCACUAUCCUGUCCUGAAUCUGUUUGACAAUAAGAUGAUUUAACACAUUGUCUGUCUGUGUAUGGGGUGACGUAUAUCAUUGCUCCAUACACUUUUUUUUAUAGUGAUGCCUCGGCUUUCCCCCUUCGCUAUCCCUUCCGUCUUCCUUCCAAUCACCCACACUCGUUAUCUCCCUCGCUAUCACCGCUUUGUCCUCACCCAUUAGCCGCAAUCUCUCUCAGCCUCUCCACAGAUAAACGUGUAUCUUCCUGUUGCAGUUCAUUGCCUUGAGUCACAUCGAUAACACGAGGGACCUAUUUAUUUAUGUAUUUAUUUUAUUAUUUAUUUGUAUUUGAAGGACUAUUCAAUGGGUUAUUUUUUCGUCUGAUCAUUUAAUUGCCCUCAAGCGACCCUGACUGAAAACAUGACCGACUUGAGUAAAAAGACAUAAGGUGAAAUGUAAAACAGUAUAACGAAGAGAAAGAACAGGAAGAAGAACAGGAAGAACAGGAGAAAGAAAGGAACAUAAAAAACAAAUAUUAUUCCUUGUUUUUUUUUCUUAUAUAUAACUUUAGUCUUGUUUCUAGUUCAACACAAACGCAUUAAACUUACACUAUUCAUAUAUAUUUUCUUCCAGGAAUAAUUAGUUUACGAUACGAUGCAUAAUAAAAAGGACUACUAAUAACUACACCAAUAGAAGAAAUAAUGACAAAAUUAAUGAAGAAUGUAACAAUGAGAGGAGUAGUAGUAGUAGUAGUAGUAGUAGUAGUAGUAGUAGUAGUAGUAGUAGUAGUAGUAGUAG